UUGUCAUGGUCCUUAAUUUAUAAACACAAUUUUUCUCCACACAGAUAUUAUAUAUGGAAUAAUCAGGAUAUAUUGUAUAAAAAUACCUCUCUGUUUUUAGAAUAUUGGUUCAGAAAUAAUAUCCUAUUGGUGAGCCAACUGGUAAAUGCAGAGGGUCUUUUACUCAGUUAUAAAGAAUUCUUAUCACUUUACAAGGUCCCUGUAACACCUAAAGAUUUUGCAAUUGUUUUAGAUGCCAUUCCCUCAGGUGUUGCUAUGUUAUUCAGGAACAUGUCAAGACCUGACCCUCAGAGCCUACCUUCUAUUGACCCUGUUGACUCAUCAGUAGGAAAGAUUUGUUUCUCUUUUGGUCCAUUCAACAACAGAGCGAUACGAUCCUUGUUUCAGCAGGAUGUUGUAUCUAUACCUUAUGUCAUGCCUUAUUGGAAUGGAUUUAUUGAUAAUAUCUGUUGGAAAAAAGUUUGGAUGUUGCCACAAACAUGCCUACUUGUUAACAAAAUUAAGGAAGUUUACUUUAAAAUUAUUCAUAAAUAUUACCCUGCCAACCACUAUAUGAAGAUGUUUAAGGAAAACAUCAACUCAAAUUGCUCCUUUUGUAAUGACCACCCAGAAACAGUUGUGCAUAUUUUUUGGCAUUGUAUGCAUGUAAGAAAACUGUGGCAAGACAUCAGUAGGUUUAUAAUUGAACACAUUUAUGAAGAUUUUACACUAUUGUGGAGAGAUGUACUGUUUGGAUUCUUUACAUACAAUAGAAAUAAGCGGAAUCAUUUUUAUGUAAUUAAUUUCAUUAUUCUUUUGGCCAAAUUUCAUAUACACAAAUGUAAAUUUACAAACAGAAAACCACAUUUUCGUACCUUACAAAAAGAAAUUGAACUGUAUUUUAAGACGGUUAAAUGCUCUACUAACAAAAAAGCUGUUAGAAUUGUAAGUAUAUGCAUGUCCCUUAAGGUCCUUGUGUAAUUGUAAUGUGAUAUUGUACCCCCUAGCUCGAUUGUCCAUUGUUUGUAAUCUAUGUAUGCUUGUGUUCCCUCAUGUGCUUUAUGUAUUGAUUUGUUGUUAAUAAAAAAAAUAUUCAAAAAUUCAACCGAAAUAUGCCUUCCGCAUUUAACCCAACCCCUCUGAAUCAGAGGGGGGGAGGGGCUGCCUUAAUCGACGUCCAUGUUAUGUGAGCCCGGGAAGCAGUUGUUGUUGAGAUUUUUCCGGGUACCGCUAAACUACCUGUCGCCUCUAGUUAUCUAACGCUCUUCUAAUAAGAUACUGACCACUGGUCUGACACUUGGCUAGUACCAGCGGCAGUGCAUCUCAUAACGCUCCUCCAUCUCGACCCCUGAAUGCCCAUCUGCUAGCCGCGGGCCCGCUAGCUGUCUAGAGCAUAUCGGACUGGUAGCUGAAGAGGUCCAUCAUCCAAUUUCUUGGGCUACUAUACCUAUUUGCCAAUUGGCCUGGACCCGUUUACUACACGGAGCCCUGUUGGUCCAUCACGACUGGUCUGCCGACAUAACCGCACGAAGGGGCUUCCGUUGCGACGUCCCUCCAAGGCCCUUCUGCUAGCCUCGGCCCCCUACCUGUCUGAAUUGCAGUGUCUCCAACUCGCCUAGCUACUCAGAGGACCCUAUGAUCACUCGGCUACGCACGCCUCUCCCUAAUGGCAAUAUGCCUUGUCCAUUGCUGUUUUGGUUAGUGAUUGUCUUAUUUCACUGUAGAGCCUCCAGCCCUGCUCAAUAUGCCUUAGCUAACCCUUUUGUUCCACCUCCCACAGGUGCGGUGACCUCACCUAGUUUAAAUGGUGUCUCUAGAGUCAAUACCUCUCAUCGUCACUCAAUGCCUAGGUUUACCUCCACUGUAUUCACAUCCUACCAUACCUUUGUACAUUAUGCCUUGAAUCUAUUCUACCGUGCCCGUAAACCUGCUCUAUUUACCCUCCGUUCCGAACGUACUAGAUGACCAGUUCUUAUAGCCUUUAGCCGUACCCUUAUCCUACUCUGUUCCUCUGGUGAUGUAGAGGUUACUCCAGGACCUGCAGUGCCUAGCUCCACUCCCAUUCCCCAGGCGCUCUCAUUUGUUGACUUCUGUAACUGUAAAAGCCUUGGUUUCAUCCAUGUUAACAUUAGACGACUCCUCCCUAAGUUUGUUUUAUUCACUGCUUUAGCACACUUUGCCAACCCGGAUGUCCUAGCCGUGUCUGAAUCCUGGCUUAGGAAAGCCACCAAAAACCCUGAAAUUUCCAUCCAUAACUAGUAACAUUUUCUGACAAGAUAGAACUGCCAAAGGGUGCAGAGUUGCAGUCUACUGCAGAUAGCCAGCAUAGUUCUGUCUUACUAUCCAGGUCUGUGCCCAAACAAUUUGAGCUUCUACUUUUAAAAAUCAGAAACAAGUCUCUCACCGUUGCUGCUUGCAUAUAGAUCACCUUCUGCCCCCAGCUGUGCCCUGGACACCAUAUGUGAAUUGAUUGCCCCCCAUCUAUCUUCAGAGCUCGUGCUGUUAGGUGACCUAAACUGGGACAUGCUUAACACCCCGGCCAUCCUACAAUCUAAACUUGAUACCCUCAAUCUCACGAUCAAUGAACCUACCAGGUACAACCCCAAAUCCAUAUACACGGGCACCCUUAUAGAUAUCAUCCUAAUCAACCUGCCCUCCAAAUACACCUCUGCUGUCUUCAACCAGGAUCUCAGCGGUCACUGCCUCAUUGCCUGCGUCCGUAAUGGGUCUUCGGUCAAACGACCACCCCUCAUCACUGUCAAACGCUCCCUUUAAACACUUCAGCGAGCAGACCUUUCUAAUCGACCUGGCCCGGGUAUCCUGGAAGGAUAUUGACCUCAUUCCAUCAGUAGAGGAUGCCUGGUUAUUCUUUAAUGCCCAGUUCAAAAAAUGUUGAACAAGGAACAGAUAUAGCCCUUGGUUCACUCCAGACUUUACUGCCCUUGACCAGCACAAAAACAUCCUGUGGCGUACUGCAUUAGCAUCGAAUAGCCCCUGUGAUAUGUAACUUUUCAGGGAAGUUAGGAACCAAUAUACACAGGCAGUUAGGAAAGCAAAGGCUAGCUUUUUCAAACAGAAAUUUGCAUCCUGUAGCACAAAGUCCCAAAAGUUCUGGGACACUAAAGUCCAUGGAGAAUAAGAGCACCUCCUCUCAGCUGACCACUGCACUGAGACUAGGAAACACUGUCACCACCGAUAAAUCCACGAUAAUUGAGAAUUUCAAUAAGCAUUUUUCUAUGGCUGGCCAUGCUUUCCACCUGGCUACCCCUUCCCCGGUCAACAGCCCCGCACUCACCACAGCAAUUUGCCCAAGCCUCCCCCACCCAAAUCCAGAUAGCUGAUGAGCUGCAAAAUCUGGACCCCUACAAAUCAGCCGGGCUAGAUAAUUACAUUUACAUUUAAGUCAUUUAGCAGACGCUCUUAUCCAGAGCGACUUACAAAUUGGUGCGUUCACCUUAAGACAUCCAGUGGAACAGCCACUUUACAAUAAUGCAUCUAAAUCUUUUAAGGGGGGGGGGGGGGUGAGAAGGAUUACUUUAUCCUAUCCUAGGUAUUCCUGAAAGAGGUGGGGUUUCAGGUGUCUCUGGAAGGUGGUGAUUGACUCCGCUGUCCUGGCGUCGUGAGGGAGUUUGUUCCACCAUUGGGGGGCCAGAGCAGCGAGCAGUUUUGGAAUCUGGAAACAAUCUGGACCAUCUCUUUCUAAAAUGAUCCACCAAAAUUGUUGCAACCCCUAUUACUAGCCUGUUCAACCUCUCUUUCCUAUCGUAUGAGAUCCCCAAAGAUUGGAAAGCUGCCGCGGUCAUCCCCCUCUUCAAAGGGGAGACACUCUAGACCCAAACUGCUACAGACCUAUAUCUACCCUGCCUUUCUAAGGUCUUCGAAAGCCAAGUUAACAAACAGAUCACCGAACAUUUCGACUCCCACUGUACCUUCUCCGCUAUGCAAUCUGGUUUCCGAGCUGGUCAUGGGUGCACCUCAGCCACGCUCAAGGUCCUAAACGAUAUCAUAACCGCCAUGGUUAGACUGUAAACUAUCCUUCCAUACUCACAUUAAGCAUCUCCAAUCCAAAAUUACAUCUAGAAUUUGCUUCCUAUUUCGCAACAAAGCAUCCUUCAAUCAUGCUGCCAAACAUACCCUCGUAAAACUGACUAUCCUGCUGAUCCUUGACUUUGGCGAUGUCAUUUACAAAAUAGCCUCCUACACUCUACUCGACCUCCCGGUCGGCUACGACAGAACCUGGGAAUGAACCCAGAGUCUCUGGUGGCACAGCUGGCGCUGCAGUACAGCACCCUUAACCACUGCACCACUCGGGAGGCCCUCUCCCUCACAGAUCACUGCAUCUGUAAAUAGCCCAUCCAACUACCUGAUCACCAUACUGUUAUCUAUUUUAUUUUGCUCCUUUGCACCCCAGUAUCUCUACUUGCACAUUCAUCUUUUGCACAUCUAUCACUCGUGUUUUAUUGCUAAAUUGUAAUUAUUUCACCACUAUGGCCUAUUUUUGCCUUACCUCCCUUGAACACCUGUAUAUAGACUUGUUAUAUUGUGUUAUUGAUUGUAUGUUUGUUCAUUCUAGAGGUCCACCGAUUAAUCGGAAUGGCUGAUUAAUUAGGGCUGAUUUCAAGUUUUCAUAACAAUCGGAAAUUGGUAUUUUUGUGCGCCGAUUCUUUUUUUUCUUUUUUUAUAUAAAAAAAUAUACUUUUAUUUAACUAGGCCAAUCUUGCAGCGGUACAGUUAACUAGUCCAACGUCUAACCAUUGCACUCCACCAGUAGCCUGCCUGUUACGCGAAUGCAGUAGAAGCCAGUAGAAGCCAAGGUAAAUUGCUAGCUAGCAUUAAACUUAUCUUAUAAAAAACAAUCAAUCAUAAUCACUAGUUAUAACUACUAAUCCAGUUUAGCAGGCAAUAUUAACCAGGUGAAUUGUCAUUUAUCUUGUGUUCAUUGCACGCAGAGUCGGUAUAUGCAACAGUUUGGGCUGCCUGGCUCAUUGCAAACUAAUUAUGACAUAACAUUGAAGGUUGUACAAUGUAACAAGAAUAUUUAGACUUGGGGAUGCCACCCGUUAAAUAAAAUACCGAACGGUUCCGUAUUUUACUGAAAUAAUAAACGUUUUGUUUUCGAAAUGAUAGUUUCCGGAUUCGACCAUAUUAAUGACCAAAGGCUCGUAUUUCUGUGUGUUAUGUUAUAAUUAAGUCUGAUUUGAUAGAGCAGUCUGAGUGAGCAGCAGCAGGCCCAUAAUCAUUCAUUCAAACAGCACUUUCGUGCGUUUUGCCACCAGCUCCUCGCAAAAACAGCGCUGUUUGACUUCAAGCCUAAUGGCUGGUGUAACCCAUGUGAAAUGGCUAGCUAGUUAGCUGGGUGUGCGCUAAUACUGUUUCAAACGUCACUCGCUUUUAGAUUUGGAGUAGUUAUUCCCCUUGCAGCAAUGGGUAACGAUGCUUCGAGUGUGGCUGUUGUCGAUGUGUUCCUGGUUCGAGCCCAGGAGGGGGGCGGAAGCUAUACUGUUACACUGGCAAUACUAUAGUGCCUAUAAUAACAUCCAAUAGUCAAAGGUAUAUGAAAUACAAAUGGUAUAGAGAGAAAUAGUCCUAUAAAUACUAUAUUAAAACCUCUUACCUUGGACUAUUGAAGUCUCAUGUUAAAAGGAACCACCAACUUUCAUAUGUUCUGAGCAAGGAACUUAAACGUUAGCUUUUUUUACAUGGCACAUAUUACUUUCUUCUCCAACACGUUGUUUUUGCAUUAUUUAAACCAAAUUGAACAUGUUUCAUUAUUUAUUUGUGGCUAAAUUGAUUUUGAUGUAUUAUAUUAAGUUAAAAUAAGUGUUCAUUCAGUAUUGUUGUAAUUGUCAUUAUUAUAAAUGACAUUUUAAAAAUCGUCCGAUUAAUCGGCUUUUUUGGUCCUCCAAUAAUCGGAAUCGGUGUUGAAAUCAUAAUCGGUCGACCUCUAGUUCAUUCCAUGUGUAACUCAGUGCUGUUCUUUGUGUCGCACUGCUUUUCUUUAUCUUGGCCAGGUCGCAGUUUUAAAUGAGAACUUGUUCUCAAUUAGCCUUGCUGAUUAAAUAAAGGUGAAAUAAAUAAGUGAUAACUAAGCUCCGGUAGAAAUCAGUUUUUCUAAACUAGACAAGCUAUGGAACUCCAAUAUUUAGUCUUCAUAUAUAUAGAUUUGAAAUGCAUGCCAUCCCCAUUACUCUCCUGAGUUGUCACGCAGUCUCUCGUUGAUAGGAAAAUUAAGACAAGUGACGUUUUGGUAACACUUUAUGAGCCACUGGCUUAUAGGGUCUUAUAAGGAACCAUGAGCUUUUUUUUAUAGUGUAUAAUACUACCCGUGUGAUUAUUACAAAUGCAUCUACUGUGUAGUGUGUAUGUAUUUAUAAAGGGUGUUAAUAGGAGCUUUGAGAAGUGAUGAAGCAACGUUAGGGUGAUUGGGUGACAUUCAAUUCAUUACUACAUUAAACAAUACUUCACUGGAGACAUCAUUCAGCAUAAGUGUUUGCUAUAGUAAAUAACUAAUGCAAAUAUUGUAAACGCAAAAAGCAACAGUUAAGUGUAAAAUAAAUCACUUUAUUUGUAGUUACAAUAACUAACAUUGCUAAACAUUUCAACUAGCAUAUUUUCUCUAAUUAUACUCGCAACAUCUCAAACUGCAUUUUAAUAUAGAUUCUAUCUUGCAUCCAGCUUUCAGUUGUACACUGUCUAAAAUUAAAUACAAAAAGGUGAGAAGGGAACAGUGGGGGUGUAGAGAUCUAGGUAUUUCAUGGAGAGAAAAGGGAAAUUCAUUUGUAAUAUUUUUUUAUUUUUUAUUGCCAACUCCACGCCUAACGCACAAUUACAGAACAUUUUUGUACAGAAUGUCGCAGAGAAAACAGAAUGGGAAAAAUGCCACUACUGCUAAAGAAAGAGUCUCUGUUUACAAGGAUAGGGGUACAGAACAUUCUGCCAUUCAGAUGCUGCAAGUUCCUUCUUUUUUCUUAUUAAAGGACAGAAAAAAACCUGUUUGUUACAAAAUGUUUAUUUUUUUUGUCACUGGAAUUUGUUUGCUACACAAGAAAUUAACAUUUCUUUGUUCCAUUUGUGUGUCUGUGCGUGCAUAUGUGUUUUAAAUGUUUAGAUUACUUUUAAAAUCAAGGAAUCCUUCCCAAGUAUGGAUAUAAGACCAGGUAACUGUUUAUGUUAUGGUGUUUGCUGCUCUCAAGUGCAUAGCUUUGACAUUUUAAUUGAAUUAUUUAUGCACAGAUUAGCCAAAAACAAUAUAAAUACCAUUGUAAUUAUGAUAUAUUUAACAGGUUAUUUUCUUUAAAAGAAAAACAUCAAAAGGACUUAGUUCAUAUGCACCUCUUUAAGCAAUUCUACAGCAUGCGAUCCUAAGAGUUAACCCACCCAUGGCAGACAACUUUUUUUUGUUUUUUUACUUAAAAAGUUUCAAUAUCAUUAUUUUCAAACAUUGAUUUAUACAACAUUUCGUUCAGAGUAGUAACUGCAUUUCCAAGCACAGAAUGGGUUCCUCUUGAAACUCCGGAAAGAAACCGGGGUAUAAGUGGAGGCUUCCCUACCCAACCAAAUCACAUCACCGGUCCCAACCACAGUCAACAGAAAGAAAUAAAAUAAAGUGAACCGAUGGGAUUCUUCAUUUCACUAUUCUACAUUGUCACCAAACAAAAGGUGAAGAGAAUGGGUAAAUAAAAAAAAGAUUUGAUUUGUUUAAAAAUUAGCAUUCAUUAUCACAAAUAGCAUGUGCUUGGUUAGUUAACUUUCCUUUAAACAUUAUUCUGCAUAUGAAAAGUAAAA